CAUGUCUUUUUGAUUAUAAUUUAAAGUCUGACCUGCCCUAUGAAUUAAUUUUUGAAUGGCCGCGGUACUUUGACCGUGCAAAGGUAGCAUAAUAAUUAGUUUAUUAAUUGUGAACUGGUAUGAAUGGUUGGACGAGAAAAAAACUGUCUCAAUUUAAUUUAAAUUAGAAUUUUAUUUUUAAGUAAGAAAGCUUAAAUAUUUUUAAAAGACGAGAAGACCCUAUAGAGUUUUAUAUUUUUUUUUAUUUUUAAAUUUUGAGGGAUUAUAGAUUUAUUAAUAUAGGAAAGUAUUUGAUUGGGGCGAUUGAAAAAUUUAAAGAACUUUUUUUAAAGAUAAAACAUUUAUUUAUGAAUAUUUGAUCCAUAUAUUUAUGAUUAGAAGAUUAAAUUACCUUAGGGAUAACAGCGUUAUUUUUUUUGAGAGUUCUUAUCGAAAAAGAAGUUUGCGACC
rnacentral:rRNA from 1 species